AAAUCCCCAAAUACUCCUUUUACUCUCAAAAUUUGAAUUCACCCACCAUAGCUACUCCUUUUCUAUCGAUCUGUUAGGGUUUUGGAGAAACAAAUAGAUAUUGAAGAGAAGGAGAACGAGGAAGAAGAAGAAGAAGAAGAGGAAGAGAAGACGGGGGAGGAGGAAGAAGAAGAGAGUGAAGAUGAAGGGACUAAAAAGGUCAAAGGUAGUAGUAGAAAGGCAGCCAGAAUAGGUGGGUCUCCUAUGCUGCUUGGUUAACUUCUUUCUGGUUGCAUUGAGAAUUUGGAAUAGUCAUGUAAUCUAAUGAUUUUGAUCCUAAUAAUAGCUCCUUUUCGUUUUUUUUUUUAAUUUGGGGUUCUUUUUAUGAGAAACUAUUUGCAUGUUUGCUUCUUUCGAUUAUGUUACUAUUCUUUGGAUGAUCAAAAUUCCUAUCUGAAGAAAUUUAGUCCAAAUUUGUUUCUGUUUUUCUUUCUUAAUAAUGGGUUGUCAAAUAUGAAGUUAAUUUACACUUCAUUUUUUUGGGUUUUUUAAAAUAAUUAUUUGUUGGCUUAGUAUUCAUACAAUAAAACUGGAUAAAGCUGGUUUCAUUUGUAUCGAUCAGUGUUUAAGUACUCACUACAGCAUUCUCAACUGCUUAUUUCCUCUAUUGAGUUUAUGUUUAAGUUGUUUUAUCAACAUUGCUAUCGAUACUGAAAGCUGAGGAUGGCAUUUUUCCCUGUUUUAUGCAUAAUGUAAAUAACAUUUAAUUCUGUUUUUUUUGUUCUUUGAUAUUGACAAAUCAGGUUAGUUGAUGUUUGAGUAUCUUUAUUGCCAUUGUAUAUGGGCCACUCUAGUUUCUUGAAUUUGUUGUUUGCUGUCGGUGUGUGGUGUGCUGCAUAUAUUACUGUCGCGGUUGUGGCGUCUUUGCGCAUCUUCAAUUCAAUCUGUUCAUUCUGAGUCAGUAAAGCAAUUUGACUGGUGUGGAACGCUGUAAUGGGAUAUGCACAACUGGUUAUUGGUCCUGCAGGCAGUGGAAAG
rnacentral:lncRNA from 1 species